CGAGCGUUAUCCCGAUUUAURGAGUUUAAAUGAUACAUAYACRCGAUUCAAGUCAGCGRUAWAAGCGCGGGCUCAACCCCGGCGAGCCGUUGAGACUGCGGAGCUAGAGAGAGCGAGAGGUACGCGGAAUGCGCGGUGUAGCGGUGAAAUGCAUAGAUAUCGCGCAGAACUCCGAUUGCGAAGGCAGCGUACUGGCGCUUGUCUGACGCUGAGGCACGAAAGCGUGGGGAUCAAACAGGCUUAGAUACCCUGGUAGUCCACGCAGUAAACGAUGAAUGCCGGCUGUUUGGUCUGACUGAGGGCUGAGCGGCGAAGCGAAAGCGAUAAGCAUUCCACCUGGGGAGUACGCCGGCAACGGUGAAACUCAAAGGAAUUGACGGGGGCCCGCACAAGCGGAGGAACAUGUGGUUUAAUUCGAUGAUACGCGAGGAACCUUACCCGGGCUCAAACGGCGGCGGACAGGGAAAGAGACUUCCCCUCUACGGGCCGUCGCCGAGGUGCUGCAUGGUUGUCGUCAGCUCGUGCCGUGAGGUGUCGGCUUAAGUGCCAUAACGAGCGCAACCCCUGCCGGCAGUUGCUAACGGGUAAAGCCGAGGACUCUGCCGGGACUGCCGGCGCAAGCCGCGAGGAAGGCGGGGAUGACGUCAAAUCAGCACGGCCCUUACGUCCGGGGCGACACACGUGUUACAAUGGGUGGCACAGAGGGAAGCCAGGCSGCGACGCCGAGCGGAACCCGAAAUCCACUCUCAGUUCGGAUCGGAGUCUGCAACCCGACUCCGUGAAGCUGGAUUCGCUAGUAAUCGCGCAUCAGCCAUGGCGCGGUGAAUACGUUCCCGGGCCUUGUACACACCGCCCGUCAAGCCAUGGGAGC
rnacentral:rRNA from 1 species